rnacentral:tRNA from 1 species
GGGCCUGUAGCUCAGGGGUUAGAGCGGGCGGCUCAUAACCGCUAGGUCCCUGGUUCAAAUCCAGGCAGGCCCA